UCAUUGAUCUUGGUGUCUCAAAUUGAA
rnacentral:piRNA from 1 species